UACGGGGGGGGCAAGCGUUGUUCGGAAUUACUGGGCGUAAAGGGCGCGUAGGCGGCCUGCUAAGUCGGAUGUGAAAUCCCUCGGCUCAACCGAGGAACUGCAUCCGAUACUGGCGGGCUUGAAUCCGGGAGAGGGAUGUGGAAUUCCAGGUGUAGCGGUGAAAUGCGUAGAUAUCGGAAGGAACAUCAGUGGCGAAAGCGGCUUCCUGGACCAGUACCGACGUUCAGGCACGAAAGCGUGGGGAGCAAACAGG
rnacentral:rRNA from 1 species